UACGUAGGGGGCGAGCGUUGUCCGGAUUUAUUGGGCGUAAAGAGCUCGUAGGCGGUUUGGUAAGUCGGGUGUGAAAUCUCCACGCUCAACGUGGAGGGGCCACUCGAUACUGCCAUGACUCGAGUCCGGUAGAGGAGUGUGGAAUUCCCGGUGUAGCGGUGAAAUGCGUAGAGACCGGGAAGAACACCAGUGGCGAAGGCGGCUACCUGGACAGGUACUGACGCUGAAGCGCGAAAGCUAGGGGAGCAAACAGG
rnacentral:rRNA from 1 species